rnacentral:rRNA from 1 species
ACCCGCACAAGCGGUGGAUGAUGUGGAUUAAUUCGAUGCAACGCGAAAACCUUACCUACCCUUGACAUGUCCGGAAUCCCGAAGAGAUUUGGGAGUGCUCGCAAGAGAACCGGAACACAGGUGCUGCAUGGCUGUCGUCAGCCCGUGUCGUGAGAUGUUGGGUUAAGUCCCGCAACGAGCGCAACCCUUGUCAUUAGUUGCCAUCAUUUGGUUGGGCACUCUAAUGAGACUGCCGGUGACAAACCGGAGGAAGGUGGGGAUGACGUCAAGUCCUCAUGGCCCUUAUGGGUAGGGCUUCACACGUCAUACAAUGGUCGGUACAGAGGGUUGCCAACCCGCGAGGGGGAGCUAAUCCCACAAAGCCGAUCGUAGUCCGGAUCGCAGUCUGCAACUCGACUGCGUGAAGUCGGAAUCGCUAGUAAUCGUGGAUCAGCAUGUCACGGUGAAUACGUUCCCGGGUCUU